rnacentral:rRNA from 1 species
CUUAAGGAGUUGGUGUAUGUCAAACAACCUCCCGGUUUCGAAGACCCCGAUCACCCCUCUCACGUUUAUGAACUCCAUAAGGCGCUCUAUGGACUUAAACAAGCACCUCGUGCUUGGUAUGAUCACCUUACGGCGUUCUUAAGCGAGAAGGGGUUCCAGAUCGGGUUAAUAGAUUCCACUCUCUUCACGAAGAGGGUAAAAGGAGAAUUGUUUGUGUGCCAAAUAUAUGUUGAUGAUAUUAUUUUUGGUUCCACUAACCAUGCUAUUAACGUUGAGUUUGAGAAUUUUAUGACCAAGGAAUUUGCCAUGAGCAUGAUGGGAGAGUUGAAGUUUUUCCUCGGAUUUCAAGUGAAGCAAUUGAGAGGAGGAACCUUCAUCAACCAAGCACUUUAUAUUCAAGACAUGCUCAAGAGGUUCAAAAUGCAAGAUGUCAAGCCCAUGAAGACACCCAUGCCCACAAAUGGCCAACUUAAUCUUGAUCCCAAUGGUAAAGAUGUGGAUCAAAAGGUAUAUCGCUCUAUGAUCGGUUCUUUGCUUUACCUUUGUGCAUCUAGGCCGGAUAUUAUGUUGAGUGUGUGUAUGUGUGCAAGAUUUCAAUCCGCUCCCAAGGAGAGCCAUUUUUUGGCAGUGAAAAGAAUCCUUCGAUAUUUGGUUCAUACCCCAAACUUGGGCCUUUGGUACCCCAAAGGAGCAACUUUCAAGCUAUUAGGAUAUUCGGAUUCGGAUUGGGCCGGAGACAAGGUAGACCGCAAGUCCAUUUCCGGGUCUUGUCAAUUCCUAGGGAGGUCAUUGGUAAGUUGGUCUUCAAAGAAGCAGAAUUGUGUGUCCCUUUCA